CCUACGGGGGGCAGCAGUGAGGAAUAUUGGUCAAUGGACGAGAGUCUGAACCAGCCAAGUAGCGUGAAGGAUGACUGCCCUAUGGGUUGUAAACUUCUUUUAUAUGGGAAUAAAAUGUUCCACGUGUGGGAUUUUGUAUGUACCAUAUGAAUAAGGAUCGGCUAACUCCGUGCCAGCAGCCGCGGUAAUACGGAGGAUCCGAGCGUUAUCCGGAUUUAUUGGGUUUAAAGGGAGCGUAGGUGGAUUGUUAAGGCAGUUGUGAAAGUUUGCGGCUCAACCGUAAAAUUGCAGUUGAAACUGGCAGUCUUGAGUACCGUAGAGGUGGGCGGAAUGCGUGGUGUAGCGGUGAAAUGCUUAGAUAUCACGAAGAACUCCGAUUGCGAAGGCAGUUCACUGGACUGCAACUGACACUGAGGCUCGAAAGUGUGGGUAUCAAACAGGAUUAGAUACCCUUGUAGUC
rnacentral:rRNA from 1 species